UACGAAGGGUGCGAGCGUUAAUCGGAAUUACUGGGCGUAAAGCGUGCGCAGGCGGCUUUGCAAGACAGAUGUGAAAUCCCCGGGCUCAACCUGGGAACUGCAUUUGUGACUGCAAGGCUAGAGUAUGGCAGAGGGGGAUGGAAUUCCGCGUGUAGCAGUGAAAUGCGUAGAUAUGCGGAGGAACACCAAUGGCGAAGGCAAUCCCCUGGGCCUGUACUGACGCUCAUGCACGAAAGCGUGGGGAGCAAACAGG
rnacentral:rRNA from 1 species